GCCCGGACCGCUGGGCGCGGGUGAAAGGUCACUCAGAGCGGCGCCCGGCGCGACCAUUCGCUGCGGCGCAUCCCGGCAGCCACCGCGGCGGCUGGGCGGCGGGUGCCAUGCGCCGGCAGCCGCACGGUCUCAGCGCCCGCCCACCCGCCCGCCCUCCGCGGUCACGCCUCGGACGCCCAGCACCUGCCCCGCAGGUUUCUUAAGCCUUCUUGAUUAGUCCAUUUGUGUGUGUGUGUGGACAACAGUGAUCCAGUACCCAGGAAAAGAGAUAUUCUCAAAGAUGGCAGCACAGAUGAAAGAAUGCCAGAAAAGCUUGGCGCCAACCGACUUCAACAGCAGCAAACAGCUAUCGCCUGCCUACUCUCAACUCACCCAUCUUCUAAAAAAAAAAAGCAGAACCUAAGGAGGCCCUGCUCUGAUACUCCCUGGCUGAGCCCCUCACCACAGAGUGAGGAAACUGGGACCAGAAUCCACAUUGAUCCCUACUACACAGUCUGGAUAACCUGGAGCACCUCAAAAUUUCUGGCCUCAGUGCCUCAAGUCCACUUCCAAGGCCUGCCUACAUUUCUUCAGUCCCAUCCUCCCAAGGGCAGACCAUGCCACCAGUAUAUGCACUCCCUAGACUGA
rnacentral:lncRNA from 1 species